GAUCAGAUGCCUUUCAAGUGUCUAUCGCAAAACCCCGCCAGAGGAGGAAUCCAGCAACGGUAUGCGAUCAGAGCUGUGCUUAGGAUUAUCUGAUCCUU
rnacentral:SRP_RNA from 1 species